GUAUUAUCUUUAAGGUUAAAUGUAAAAAUGUUCAGCUUUGCUCUGCUGUUGUAAAUCUGUUCCUUUGCAGGUGUUAUACUGAGUUUGUGAUACAGAUAUAUCUCCUGUCCCUACUGUUAUUUUAUUCAUAAUAUAAGACAAAGAAAAUGCCCUGAUAUGUCUUCAGAGAUGGAAAAUUGAAAGCUAAUACUCAAGACAGCAACAGGUUGACCUGAAAAAGCCCAGCAGAAUUAUAAAUGGAGCCAGGGCACAUAUUUGUGGGAACAAAGGAAAAGUUCAAGCACCUGCCUACCUAAAAAUGAUCACAACAGAGCAUUGGGAUCACACAUCUACAGAGGCACUUCUAAACUUUCAUGACAAACAGGGUUGUGCAUAAUGAAUGUAAAUAGUUAUCAACCAAAUAGAUGAUCACUGAAAGAAGGUGGUCAAAACUGCUGUCUGC
rnacentral:lncRNA from 1 species